CAUGCAAGUUGCGGGGCAGCAUGGGGGUUGCUUGCAAUCCCCGAUGGCGACCGGCGCACGGGUGAGUAACGCGUAUCCAACCUGCCCUUCACCACGGGAUAACCCGGCGAAAGUCGGACUAAUACCGUAUGUUGUCCAUUGACGGCAUCCGAUUUGGACGAAAGGCUUUGCGGUGAGGGAUGGGGAUGCGUCCGAUUAGCUGGACGGCGGGGUAACGGCCCACCGUGGCUACGAUCGGUAGGGGUUCUGAGAGGAAGGUCCCCCACACUGGAACUGAGACACGGUCCAGACUCCUACGGGAGGCAGCAGUGAGGAAUAUUGGUCAAUGGGCGCAAGCCUGAACCAGCCAAGUAGCGUGCAGGAUGACGGCCCUAUGGGUUGUAAACUGCUUUUAUGCGGGGAUAAAGUGACCCACGUGUGGGUUUUUGCAGGUACCGCAUGAAUAAGGACCGGCUAAUUCCGUGCCAGCAGCCGCGGUAAUACGGAAGGUCCGGGCGUUAUCCGGAUUUAUUGGGUUUAAAGGGAGCGUAGGCCGCGCCUUAAGCGUGUUGUGAAAUCCGGUUGCUCAACAUCCGGCUUGCAGCGCGAACUGGGGCGCUUGAGUGCGCUGAAAGUAGGCGGAAUUCGUGGUGUAGCGGUGAAAUGCUUAGAUAUCACGAGGAACUCCGAUUGCGAAGGCAGCCUACUGUAGCGCUACUGACGCUGAUGCUCGAAAGCGUGGGUAUCGAACAGGAUUAGAUACCCUGGUAGUCCACGCGGUAAACGAUGGAUGCUCGUUGUCGGCCCUUUGGGUCGGUGACCAAGCGAAAGCGUUAAGCAUCCCA
rnacentral:rRNA from 1 species